rnacentral:rRNA from 1 species
UCGCUAGUAAUCGCGAAUCAGAAUGUCGCGGUGAAUACGUUCCCGGGUCUUGUACACACCGCCCGUCACACCAUGGGAGUCAGUAACGCCCGAAGCCGGUGACCCAACCAAACGGAGGGAGCCGUCGAAGGUGGGACCGAUAACUGGGGUGAAGUCGUAACAAGGUAAC